UUGUUGGUUACUAGUUGUUCCAGUCCCAGAUUUGUUACAGCAUUGUAGGAGGUUGCAUGUAUGGAUUCAGUUUUACAUUUGUUAAGGGUCCAGUUAAUAUGAGGUAGAUUGAAGUCACCCAGGAAGAUAAAAGUGUGCAGGGAGGAUGUUGCCCAUGUUAGUAGUGAAUUUAGCUUGUUUACAUUUCUCAUGGAUGGCUG